GGGCCAGGCCGCGCACGGAGAUGCGCACCGGCUGGUCGCAGAGGCAACCAUCCGCGGGCUCCAGGAUCACCGUAAUGGUGCCUGUGGAGCUGACGAUUGCGGUGGUUGUCUGAAGUAAGGUUUCACCUGGCUCAGGUUGACCUUGAGCUUGCUCUGCUAAGGAUGACCUCCUGGCCUCCUGCCUCCGCCUCCCAAAGGCUGGGAUCGCAGGCCUGGACCACCACUCUGCACUCUUCCCGAUGUCUUUAAAUGAAACGUUUUCCUGGGAUGACUCGGCGGGCUAACACGUUUCAACUGUGCUAAUAUCAAGCAGGGAACUGGUGUUUUUCCAACUCAGCCAAGAGAAAGGUCAGGCAGACCGGGUUAUUUAAAAGGAUUUCGUAAACGGACCUUGUUACAAAAGCAUAGGUAGCUGUCCUGUGAAAACAGAGACCAAGGUUAAAAGGUAGGUCAGAGUUAACGCUGUGAAGCUGGGAAUGGAGACUUAAAAAGGCUUGCAGCUGGGCAUGAGAGCUAGCCUGGCUUCCCUGAGGCGCCUUCCCCGAGGAACUCAGGCAAGGCAUUGUUCCCCAAUAGUGUAUUAUUGCUCCUAAUGCAGCUAAUGGAAGCUGACUAAAGUUUAAGGGUGGCUUCCAAAAAUAAAAUGUUAAAAAAUGACCUAUUUCACACCGCCCCUACUAUGAGCUAAAUAUGAAGUAACCAAGGAAAACCACAGCUAUGUCUUAGUAGCCGUGAUAACUCUUAACUCUCCAUAGACAGUAAAGGAAAAAGGCCAGUAUAAAGGUGCCAGCUGACCACGUAUCCUAGAAACAAAGAAAGCAUAGGUUAAGUGGCUAGCAGACCCCACCAGGGUUUAGAACCAGCAAGACCCUGCAAAGUCGGAGCCAAGCAACACUGGGCAGGACUGGAACUACCAGCGGACAGACAGGGUCAAGAGCUAAGAAUGUAGAAGUCAGAGAUGGACAGACAAGGGCUCCAAUCAUCCCUAACUUGGCAAGCAGUGCCCCAAACAGCCUGUCAGCUCCCUUACUGGACCAGGGGAAUGUGCAUUGAACGCGUGCCUUACGGCUGCUCAACUUCCCAUGCUUAGAGAAUUAACCAAUAGGGAUUUCCCCAGUGUUGGUCGGCUUUCUGCCCCAGUCCCAUAAAAAGUCCCUAGAUAAGCUCAAAACAAAACAAACAAACAAACAAAAAAAACCACAACCCUUUUUUUCUUCUCUUGGGGGCCUCUCCAGAACUCUGCUUUCUGCAGUAUUUCAUCUUCAUUCUUUAAGCUUUCUGCCUACAGUAAUUUAAAAAAAGGCAGCUGGGAAGCAAAGGAUCAGAGGCAUCCCAAACAGCCCUCAAGGGUGUGCGCCCUGUGGCCUCACUUCUUCCGUUAGGCCCCACCUCCUAAAAGUUGUACCACUUCUAAUAUCGACACAGACUGGAAACUAAGUCUUCAGCACGUGGCCUUUGGAGGACCGUUUGAGAGCCGGCCAUAAAAGGAGGGUUGCCUUGCCUACAGGUGACCAGUUGAAAUGGAAGACACAGUUUUCAAAGUGACUGCUGCCGCUGUGUGCAAAAUCUUGUCAUCCUGGUGACAAAUUGGCGUCCACCUCUCUUGACUCACUUCUCAAAACACUUAUCUUCAAGUCACCUAGUUGUGGGCUUGCCAAGACCUUUCCCUUAAUUGCAGCUGAUAAUCAAGUUGAGAGAGUGAAUGUUUCCUGGACCACGGAUUACUUUUAUAAUGUUUGUGGGGUGGCCAAUGAACAUUGCCACAGAGCCGGGGCAUGAAACUCUUCUAUCAACAGGAGGAGACAGGGACUUGUCCAAAGGCAUCAUUUGCUGACUCCACUAUUCACUACCAACAGCACCCUUUCCCUUAGGCAUCUCUUCCUCUGACUGUGUACAAGAGGAGUAUUUAAGUAUUUGGAAAAUAAUGAAUAUUUGUUUGUGUUUGUUUCUGUUUUUGAGACAAGGUGUCAACCGUGUGUCCUUGAUGGCCUAGAACUCACUACAUAGACCAUGCUGGCCUCAAACUCCCUGAUUAUUAUUAUUACUGUAUUUACUAAAAUGAGAUCAUCUGCAGGGGUUUUCUCCAACUUCUCAUAAUUAAGGUCAAGAACUUAUCCAUAUUCAUGAAACACAAGAACAGAACACCUAACUCUAGUCAGAUGGAAGGACUGGGGAGUGCCUCAGCAGCACAGGAUUUGCAGAGCAAGAACAGGCUGUGUGUUUUGUCUCCAGCACCAGAAAUAAGUAAAACAGAGCACAUGUCUUUAAAAAAAUCAUAGAAUCCUGGCAGAACCGCCGCUCCCAAGGUCAGACUAGGAUGCUUUAUUAAAAUAGGAUAAUUGAAUAUUUCUUGUGGCUUUUGAGUUUUUACCAUCUUCCUUAAAAGUUGAAAUGUGGAACAACCCAAGGUAAAAUCUAAGGAGCAUAUUCCCACCCUCACCACUGUGCCUGGUGAAUACACCGGGGUUUGUCGGUAGGUGAACUCCUCAGUAGCUGCCCUGUCUCUUGCCAGGAUCCGCACCUUGAAAUAAUUAACGUGCCUCCUCCUCCUGCUGUCGAUUUAAUUGUCUCUGUGAAGUCAGAAAUUUUCUUCCAUUUUCUUUUCUUUCUUCCUUCCUUCCUUCCUUCCUUCCUUCCCCCAUCCUUUUUGUAGCCUUGGCUGUCCUGGACUCUCUUUGUAGACCAGGCUAGCCUCAAAAUUACAGAGAUCUGCCUGCCUCUGUCUCCCUGAGUGCUGGGAUUACAGGCGUCUGGCACCUUGCCCUGCUAUACACCAAUUCUUUAUGAGUUUAGUUUUAUCAGAUUCAGCUUAAUUAUUCACAGAGGUGCAGCCAGAGAAUCUGUUUACCAGAUAGUAGUCUUAGCUUUAGAAACUUUUUCAGGUAGCCAAGCCAAGGCAAGUUUUAUUUUGUGGGGUUUUGUUGGUGAUGUUUGUUUAUUUUGAGACAGGGCUCUCAAUCUGUAGCCCCAGUCUCUUUGGAAUAUUUCCGCUUCAGCAUCCCAAGUUCCGAGGUUACACAGAGGUAGACAGAGUUUUCACUGAGCAUCUGUGAUAUCUUGAGAAUACAGAGCCUCGUUGAAGGUGUCGAGUUUUUCUUACUGUCAGUCUGGAAACCGUGGUAGGCAAACAUUAUACAGAUUUUUGAAAUAUGCUAAUGUUUGUUUUUAAUUGUGUUAUACAGAGAGAAUAUUCUUUUGAACUUACCCAAACAAAUGUAUUGCAUUAAUAAAAAUAAAAGUAUGAAUAGACUUUGAAGAAAUGAGGAAGGCAGAAAAAAUAAGGGUUUCCACCUUUGUUUAUAAAUGAUAUUUUAUGAAAGUGAUGCGAGCUUUGGGGGGCUUACACAGAUGUUUCUUUAAGCCUCCACAGCAAAGACCUAUAAGAAAAGAGCCAGAAACACUUUACGUAGGAGACAUCAAACUGGAACAUGCUUGUAAAAUCCUUCCACUUCAGAGGUUCAGGCAGGAGAAUUACCAUGAGUUAGGGAGUGAUAUCUCAUUUUAUUAAGGAAGACACAGGGGCUAAAGAGAUGCUUCAGUGGUUAAGAACACUGGCUGUUUUGCAGAAGACCCAGGUUCUAUUCCCAGCACUCACACGGCAGCUCACAACCAUCUGUAACUCCAGUUCCAGGGGUAUCUGACACCUUCCUCUGACCUCCACGGGCUCCUGUAUGCUUUCGGCACACAGUCAUACACUCAGGCACAUGCACAUACAAUAAAUAUCUUUAGAAAUUUUAAAUGGGUACCACCCCUAAUGUUAUGAGCUUAUUCAUCUUUGCAUGAUUCUUGUUCUGCUUAAUCUUUAGUAGCAGUUUGAUGACUUCAGUUCCUUCUUUAAAGUUCUGGAAAUGUUUAUUUAGUUCCUGAGUUACCCGAAGCAAGGCUGAGUAUGAUAAACGACUUGGUUGAAAUUCUGAUGAGAAUUUAGCAGCUGACAAGGAAGUUUGGUUAUUUUCACUGCAUACAGAAUUUUGAGAACUGUGGCUCAGACUUUACGAGUGCCAGGUAAUCUUCAGAUUCGUGUGGGGAGCGCAUGCGUGGAAACACAUCGUCACGACUGCACGGCUCCACAUAUUCCCAUGCAAUCCCGUAUAACCAGCAGCUGGAUCGCUCCACUAUCUGAAAGAUGAGAGGAUCCUUGAAGGUUCACCAAGGGCCCCAGGGGAAAUGUUCAAGUCCAGAAGUUUUCAUUUAGAACUUUGAUCCUGGGAAAGUCUGCCAACGAUGACCUGUUUAAAACAUUUGACACAGCAUUGCGAAAUAAUAGUCAUCUGGCGAAUCAACCUCCGCUAGAGAUCAGGUGUAUAGUUACAAAGUUACUGAAAGGCUUGAAAAAAAAAAAAAACAAACAAAAAACAGUCCUUAACUAUUUUAGGGUCUCUUUAAUUAAGUAUGAAACACUCAAUAGAAGAGCAGAAAAAUAAAAAUGAGAACGAAAACAAAACCUUCCAGCCACGGCACUGGUUCUGUUUGAGGGAGCCAGUUCAGACACCUCUAAGCCAAACCUGCUGAAAGGGGGCUUGAAUAUGAAUCUGUGUGCAAAUGAUGAGUUUGUACUCAUCAUGUAUGAUGAUAUGGAAGAAGAGAAACAAGAAAGCCAGCACCUUGAACACAGGACUCUUGGAAAUGGUGCAGGUGUGUGGAAUUGUGUGGUUUUCCUCUAAUUCAAAGCAGGAAGAAAAGCCAUGAGUAAAGAUUCAAGUUAUCUACAUUGUCAAAACAAACAUUUUUGGUGUCUGUUACAACAGUAAAGUAAAAAUCAGAGUAAAAGAAGAAGGGGGGGAGCUCAAAGGGGCUUAUAAGAAAGAGAGACAGACAGACAGAGGGAGAUGAAUUAGUGGGUACUGUGAAGCUGGGAAGUUGCUCAGAACAUAACCAAAACAAAACAGAACUCAUAACUGACCACAAAACCUUUGCAGUUUUUUCCCUAGGGGGGAAACAAACUUGUUGAGAAAACCUGGCUCCAAUGGUGUGAUGACACACCUUUAAUCCCUGCACUCAGGAGGCAGAGGUAAAAUGCUCUUAUAUCUGGAGGCCAGUCUUGUUUAUACAGUAAGUCCCAGGCCAGCCCAGGCUACAGCCUAAGAAGAGGAGGAAGAGGGGAGAAGGCCAGGCAGGAAGACUAUCAGGCUCCAGCCAGUCUUGUUCUGAGUUCUGGUCUACCACAAAGUGAGAAGUUGUUUUUGUUGUUUUCUGAGACAGUGUUUCUCUGCGUCGUAGCCCUGGCUGUCCUGAAACUCUCUGUGGACCAGGAUAACCUCAAACUCGGAGAUCCUCCUGCCUCUACCUCCCAAUUGCAGGGACUAAAGGCAUGUGCCACCAUGCUUUUUGAAGUGAGAAGUUUUUCUCCAAAGCUGCUGCUCCCGUGAAUGCCAUGCCUUCCCCUCCAUGCUGGGUUGAAACUGGUAAAACCCCGAGUCAAAUUGUUCUCUCAGGUGUUUUGUCACAAUGAAGCAAAAACAGCUAACAUAGACAUAUAACACAGAUAAACGUAAUCCUCUCUGGUCACAGAGAGCUGUGAGAUGGCUCCACUGAUUGAGUUGCUGCCACCAAGCCUGAUGACCUGAAUUCAAUCCCCGGAGCCUGCAUGGUCGAAAGAGCUGACUACCCACAUUGUCCUCUGACCUACACACACACACACACACACACACACACACACAAAUGUAACAAAACUGCACUUGUAAAAAAUGUAUGCUAAUGGUAAUGAGAACAUCAUUUUUGCUAAAGCUUGUUCAACAAAGGUUUAUGUAAGGCAUGUGAAAUAGAAAUGAUUUGGGUUAAUUGCA